rnacentral:rRNA from 1 species
UAACGCGUAUGCAACCUGUCCGUUACAGGGGGAUAGCCCAUGGAAACGUGGAUUAACACUCCAUAAUAUAAUAUAGAGGCAUCUUUGUAUUAUUAAAUAUUCAUAGGUAACGGUUGGGCAUGCGUCCUAUUAGAUAGUUGGGGGGGUAACGGCCCACCAAGUCGAUGAUAGGUAGGGGUUCUGAGAGGAAGGUCCCCCACACUGGUACUGAGACACGGACCAGACUCCUACGGGAGGCAGCAGUGAGGAAUAUUGGUCAAUGGGCGAGAGCCUGAACCAGCCAAGUCGCGUGAGGGAUGACUGCCCUAUGGGUUGUAAACCUCUUUUGUAUGGGGGGAAUAAGCUUUACGAGUAGAGUGAUGACAGUACCAUACGAAUAAGCAUCGGCUAACUCCGUGCCAGCAGCCGCGGUAAUACGGAGGAUGCGAGCGUUAUCCGGAUUUAUUGGGUUUAAAGGGUGCGUAGGCGGCAUUAUAAGUUAGUGGUAAAAUAUUGGGGCUUCACCUCACUACGCCAUUAAUACUGUAGAGCUAGAGAACAGACGAGGUAGGCGGAAUAAGUUAAGUAGCGGUGAAAUGCAUAGAUAUAACUUAGAACACCGAUAGCGAAGGCAGCUUACCAGACUGAGUCUGACGCUGAUGCACGAGAGCAUGGGUAGCGAACAGGAUUAGAUACCCUGGUAGUCCAUGCCGU